AUGAAUCAUGACGAUUUCUGGCGUGUGAGGACAGUCCGGUCCGGCACGGGGAUGAAUUUGACGGCCCAGCCGAUGGGCCACGACACGGCGGCGAUUGCGAGGCAGACGGCCCACUGCCCCAGCCCCAGCCUCUUGGUGCCGGCGAACCUGGUGAGCACCUCCACCAUGACCACCUGCAGCAUGAGCGUGACGGCGAUGAUGACCAGGAACAUCCUGUUCUUGAGCACCCCGGCGAACACGUUUUUCUUCUCGAUCUCCCGCGCGUUGAACUCGUUGAACACCUGGCAGAGCACGAAGGCGUUGAAGAUCAUGGUGCCGUUACCCUUCUCGUCGGUGCCGAAGACGUCCCGGCCCCGGUACUGGAGCGCCAGCAGCAAGGCGAUCUGGAACGCCGCCUGCGCGGCGAGGUUGCGCCACAUGGCGUUGCUGAUGAGCGGCGCCGUGCGGCCGAUCCAUGAGCGCCUUGGUGGGCGUGUUCGUGGUGAACGCGAGAGCGCCCAUGGUGUCCAUGAUCAGGUUCACCCAGAGGAGCUUCACGGUGGUGAGCGGCAUCUUGCCCGUGGUGAUCACGGACACGAAGUUGAUGACGAGCGCCGCCACGUUGACGGUGAGCUGGAACUGGAUGAACUUUUGCAUGUUGUUGUAGACGCAACGCCCCCACAGCGUGGCCGUCACCACCUUGUCGAAGUUGUCGUUGAGGAUGAUGAUGUCCGAGCUCUCCUUGGCCACCUUUGUGCCCUGCACGCCCAUGGACAGCCCCACGUCCGCCUCCUUGCGCGUCGGCGCGUCGUUCGUGCCAUCACCGGUCACGGCCACCACGUGCCCCUUCUGCUUCAGCCGCUGCACCAGCGCCAGCUUGUCCAACGGCAGGGACCGCGCCAUGACGCGGAUCCUGUCCACGAUCUCUAG
rnacentral:rRNA from 1 species